rnacentral:lncRNA from 1 species
UUCUUCCACCUUGCCUCUGACACCUCAGGGCAGUGAAGGCUUUGAUAUGCGUGAGGAGGCAUCGGGUCAGCAGAUGGAGGAGUCCAGGCCCUGUUCUAGGCAAGAUAAGUACUCUGAGUGAAGUUUGAGGGAACCACCCACCACAGAUUGGAGGGACUCCCACAGAGUCCAACCCCUGAUUUCAGCCCUGUUAGAUCCCAGACAGGGAUCAUUUGAUUUAGUACCUUCUGAAUUCCCUCAGUGAGGACUCUGGGAGCUGAGAGUCAGCAGAUGGAGGCGUCCAGGCUCUGCCACACGUUAAGCCUACUCAACACAAAGAAGAUGAAUAUGAAGACCUUUGUGAUGAUCCACUUCACUUAAUGAAUAGUUGUAGGCAAAGCCAGCUGCCAUUUCAUAAGAACACUCAGGCAACACUAUGGAGCUGUUCAUUGGCAAGGAAAUUAGUUCUCCUGCCGUAACCAGCAAGGAACUGAAGCUCUUGCUAACAGCUAUGUGAAUUAGUUAUUUUGGAAGCAGAUCCUCCAACUCCAGUCAAGCCAGCUGACAUACAGCACUAGCUGACAUCAUGAUUGCAACCAUGUGAGAAGAUUCGGGUCAGAGCCACCCAGAUGCUGAAACCUGAAGUCAGCAGGGAAGUCAGGAAGAGGAGAUGAUGCAAAGCAGAGGAAGCAAGGAUAAAUGGAAUCCAUGAGGACUAUCUGGAGCUCUCAAGGACUGACUGGGACCCAUGUUGAUCUUCCACUGCCUCCAAACCUCCAAUUUCAAUGACAUCAAUGCCCUGAAAAAAAAAAGUGGGCGUUCUUUUUUAUGGAGCUGGUGAAGAAGGAGGAAGAUAUGAGGGAGAACUGGAGCAAUUGUGGGCCCAACUGCUGCCUCACACCAAGCAGAGAACCCUGAAGGAAGAGGUGCCAGGAGAGAUGAAAGGAAAUAUCAUGGGAAUGGAGUGCUGUUCAGCCUGCGGAAUGUCUGGAAUAUCUGAGAAGCAGCAGGACAACAGUCGAUGCCUCUAGGUAGAUGUGCCUUCUGACAAAGCGAAGAUGGGUUGGUAAACAAAAUGUUAACAUUUUAAGGAAAAUUACCUGUUUAUUACUUUUUCUAGCAUGGCCUUUGAAAAUGCAAAGCAAUAAUUGUCCUUUUGAAAAUGGAUUUCCAAAAGCAUUGAAAAAUAAUUUUGCUUACCAACACUUUAUCUUAUUCUGAUGUAACCUCAAGCAAUGCUUCAUCAUUUAAGUCCCUGUCUCAAUGAGAGUACUGGAUUGCUUUGGAAACUAUAUUAUUCGAUGCUGAAGAAAAUAACAAUCGAAGCUGAAUAUCAGUAGCAUCAUCAUGCUGUCCUGAAUAUGAGGCUAUGUGUGUUCUGUCACCCCAAGCCUCCUUGUUCUUAUUCAGUAUAAAUAUAUGCUUUUUUAGGUUUUUCCAUGCACAAAGGCAGUGGUCAUUGAGG